rnacentral:rRNA from 1 species
AUAGAACGCUGGCGGCAGGCUUAACACAUGCAAGUCGAGCGAGCGGCGGACGGGUGAGUAAUGUCUGGGAAACUGCCUGAUGGAGGGGGAUAACUACUGGAAACGGUAGCUAAUACCGCCUACCAUCAGAUGUGCCCAGAUGGGAUUGGCUAGUAGGUGGGGUAAUGGCUCACCUAGGGUACGAUCCCUAGCUGGUCUGAGAGGGUGACAUGCAAAACUGGAAAUGAGAAACGGUCCAGACGCCUUCGGGAGUCGGUAGGGGGGAAGAUGGCACAAUGGGUGAAAGCCUGCUACAGCCAAGCCGGGUGGGUGAAGAAGGCCAUAGUUUUUUAAAACAUUUUCAGCGAGGCGGCGUUACUCUCAGAUGAAGCACCGGCUAAUUCCGUGCCAGCAGCCGCGGUAAUAC